rnacentral:rRNA from 1 species
GACGAACGCUGGCGGCGUGCUUAACACAUGCAAGUCGAACGGAAAGGCCCUGCUUUUGUGGGGUGCUCGAGUGGCGAACGGGUGAGUAACACGUGAGUAACCUGCCCUUGACUUUGGGAUAACUUCAGGAAACUGGGGCUAAUACCGGAUAGGAGCUCCUGCUGCAUGGUGGGGGUUGGAAAGUUUCGGCGGUUGGGGAUGGACUCGCGGCUUAUCAGCUUGUUGGUGGGGUAGUGGCUCACCAAGGCUUUGACGGGUAGCCGGCCUGAGAGGGUGACCGGCCACAUUGGGACUGAGAUACGGCCCAGACUCCUACGGGAGGCAGCAGUGGGGAAUAUUGCACAAUGGGCGGAAGCCUGAUGCAGCAACGCCGCGUGCGGGAUGACGGCCUUCGGGUUGUAAACCGCUUUCGCCUGUGACGAAGCGUGAGUGACGGUAAUGGGUAAAGAAGCACCGGCUAACUACGUGCCAGCAGCCGCGGUGAUACGUAGGGUGCGAGCGUUGUCCGGAUUUAUUGGGCGUAAAGGGCUCGUAGGUGGUUGAUCGCGUCGGAAGUGUAAUCUUGGGGCUUAACCCUGAGCGUGCUUUCGAUACGGGUUGACUUGAGGAAGGUAGGGGAGAAUGGAAUUCCUGGUGGAGCGGUGGAAUGCGCAGAUAUCAGGAGGAACACCAGUGGCGAAGGCGGUUCUCUGGGCCUUUCCUGACGCUGAGGAGCGAAAGCGUGGGGAGCGAACAGGCUUAGAUACCCUGGUAGUCCACGCUGUAAACGGUGGGUACUAGGUGUGGGGUCCAUUCCACGGGUUCCGUGCCGUAGUUAACGCUUUAAGUACCCCGCCUGGGGAGUACGGCCGCAAGGCUAAAACUCAAAGGAAUUGACGGGGCCCCGCACAAGCGGCGGAGCAUGCGGAUUAAUUCGAUGCAACGCGUAGAACCUUACCUGGGUUUGACAUGGAUCGGGAGUGCUCAGAGAUGGGUGUGCCUCUUUUGGGGUCGGUUCACAGGUGGUGCAUGGCUGUCGUCAGCUCGUGUCGUGAGAUGUUGGGUUAAGUCCCGCAACGAGCGCAACCCUUGUUCACUGUUGCCAGCACGUUAUGGUGGGGACUCAGUGGAGACCGCCGGGGUCAACUCGGAGGAAGGUGGGGAUGACGUCAAGUCAUCAUGCCCCUUAUGUCCAGGGCUUCACGCAUGCUACAAUGGCUGGUACAGAGAGUGGCGAGCCUGUGAGGGUGAGCGAAUCUCGGAAAGCCGGUCUCAGUUCGGAUUGGGGUCUGCAACUCGACCUCAUGAAGUCGGAGUCGCUAGUAAUCGCAGAUCAGCAACGCUGCGGUGAAUACGUUCCCGGG